AAACAUCAACAAGUCCUUGACCACACUGGGAAAGGUCAUCUCUGCUCUAGCUGAAAUGGAUUCUGGACCAAACAAGAAUAAAAAGAAGAAAAAGACUGAUUUCAUCCCCUACCGAGACUCAGUGCUGACCUGGCUCCUCCGGGAAAAUCUGGGU